CACAGACACACCAUGACAGACACACACACCAUGACAGAGACACACACACACCAUGACAGAGACAUACACACAUACCAUGACAGAGACAUACACACAUACCAUGACAGACACACACACAUACCAUGACAGACACACACCUUAAAAAAGACACACACACACACACACACCUUGACACACACACACACCAUAACACAGACAGACUGUGACACAGACACACACACACACAGUGACACAGACACAGAUUACAUGACACAGACAGACAUACGCACCAUGACACACAGACACACACACACCACGACACAGAGAGACCAUGACACAGACACACACACACACACCGUGACACAGACAGACACACAUUACAUGACACAGACAGACACACACACCA